GAAAUGCGAUAAGUAGUGUGAAUUGCAGAAUUCAGUGAAUCAUCGAAUCUUUGAACGCAACUGGCGCUUUUUGGUAUUCCAAAAAGCAUGCCUGUUUGAUAUCGGUAAAAACCAUGAGCACAGAAUUUAUUUUGUGGUCAUCUAUGGAUGUUUCUUCAAUUUGAAGUCAUCUAAAAUAUAUUUUAUAAUAGUGAACCUCUUAGCCAUUUUAAGACGUGAUAAUAUUUCUUUUAAAGAACAUUUCUCACUUAUUAACGUUGCUGUAAUGUUCUACUAAUAAUUGUUUGUGCUUUACUUCAAUGAAGUGUGUACAACCCAAUAGGUCGGUAUCAAAUCAGGUAGGAUUACCCGCUGAACUUAA
rnacentral:misc_RNA from 1 species